GGUGUUUUGGCUCAGUGGUAGAGUGCUCACCUAGCACAGGCAAGGAUCUGAGUUCAAUCCUCAGCACCA
rnacentral:tRNA from 1 species